rnacentral:rRNA from 1 species
ACUCCUACGGGAGGCAGCAGUGGGGAAUAUUGCACAAUGGGCGCAAGCCUGAUGCAGCGACGCCGCGUGGGGGAUGACGGCCUUCGGGUUGUAAACCUCUUUCACCAUCGGCGAAGCGGAGGUGACGGUAGGUGGAGAAGAAGCACCGGCCAACUACGUGCCAGCAGCCGCGGUAAUACGUAGGGUGCGAGCGUUGUCCGGAAUUACUGGGCGUAAAGAGCUCGUAGGUGGUUUGUCGCGUUGUCCGUGAAAUUCCCUGGCUUAACUGGGGGCGUGUGGGCGAUACGGGCAGACUGGAGUACUGCAGGGGAGACUGGAAUUCCUGGUGUAGCGGUGGAAUGCGCAGAUAUCAGGAGGAACACCGGUGGCGAAGGCGGGUCUCUGGGCAGUAACUGACGCUGAGGAGCGAAAGCGUGGGGAGCGAACAGGAUUAGAUACCCUGGUAGUCCACGCCGUAAACGGUGGGUACUAGGUGUGGGUUUCCUUCCUUGGGAUCCGUGCCGUAGCUAACGCAUUAAGUACCCCGCCUGGGGAGUACGGCCGCAAGGCUAAAACUCAAAGAAAUUGACGGGGGCCCGCACAAGCGGCGGAGCAUGUGGAUUAAUUCGAUGCAACGCGAAGAACCUUACCUGGGUUUGACAUGCACAGGACGACGGCAGAGAUGUCGUUUCCCUUGUGGCCUGUGUGCAGGUGGUGCAUGGCUGUCGUCAGCUCGUGUCGUGAGAUGUUGGGUUAAGUCCCGCAACGAGCGCAACCCUUAUUUCAUGUUGCCAGCGCGUUAUGGCGGGGACUCGUGAGAGACUGCCGGGGUCAACUCGGA